rnacentral:rRNA from 1 species
UAACAAUACUCCGAGAACUGAAAGGCUUUUUGAAGUCUUCGGUUGGAUAGAAGAACCCCUGAUGCCGUCGAGCCAAGAAAAGUUUCUAAGUUUAGCUAAUGUUGCCCGUACCGUAAACCGACACAGGGGGGUGGGAUGAGUAUUCUAAGGCGCGUGGAAGAACUCUCUUUAAGGAACUCUGCAAAAUAGCACCGUAUCUUCGGUAUAAGGUGUGGUUAGCUUCGUACUAGGAUUUACUCCGAAAGCGAAGAAACUUACAACAAAGAGUCCCUCCCGACUGUUUACCAAAAACACAGCACUCUGCUAACUCGUAAGAGGAUGUAUAGGGUGUGACGCCUGCCCGGUGCUCGAAGGUUAAUUGAUGGGGUUAGCAUUAGCGAAGCUCUUGAUCGAAGCCCGAGUAAACGGCGGCCGUAACUAUAACGGUCCUAAGGUAGCGAAAUUCCUUGUCGGUUAAAUACCGACCUGCAUGAAUGGCGUAACGAGAUGGGAGCUGUCUCAAAGAGGGAUCCAGUGAAAUUGUAGUGGAGG